rnacentral:rRNA from 1 species
GACGAACGCUGGCGGCGUGCCUAACACAUGCAAGUCGAACGGUGAAGGGGUCUGCUUUUGUGGGCCCUGGAUGAGUGGCGAACGGGUGAGUAACACGUGAGUAACCUGCCCCCUUCUUCUGGAUAACCGCAUGAAAGUGUGGCUAAUACGGGAUAUUCUGGGUCUGUCGCAUGAUGGGUCUGGGAAAGAUUGCGCCUUUGGGUGUUUUUGGUGGGGGAUGGGCUCGCGGCCUAUCAGCUUGUUGGUGGGGUGAUGGCCUACCAAGGCGGUGACGGGUAGCCGGCCUGAGAGGGUGGACGGUCACACUGGGACUGAGACACGGCCCAGACUCCUACGGGAGGCAGCAGUGGGGAGUAUUGCACAAUGGGCGCAAGCCUGAUGCAGCGACGCCGCGUGAGGGAUGGAGGCCUUCGGGUUGUAAACCUCUUUCGCCAGUGAAGCAGGCCUGCUCCUUGUGGGUGGGUUGGCGGUAGCUGGAUAAGAAGCGCCGGCUAACUACGUG